AAAACUUUUUUUUUAAUUAAUAUGUUUGAAAAAAUCCGCAAUGCACUGAAGCCGCAAUAAACGAACCGUGAAAUAGCGGGGGAUCACUGUAAUUUG